AUUUCACUGCAGUUUGGCGAUUUUUGGUUUAGUGUUUUACGCGUUAUUAGUGGACGAUAUGAAUAUUUGUGGGGAUGUAUCAUAAACUAUUGGAAAAUGUUAGUUUUACCUUAAAGUAGACCAGGAAGGAGCGAAAAAGGUACGUGCGCAGACUCCAAAACAAUGAAGGAAGAUGUGCGCUUGCGCACUAUACAGGUGUGAGUGAGUCUAAGAAGAAAAGUAGACGUCCUAAACCUGGCACUUGUGGGUGGAGUGAGAAUUUCACCGGGUUAAUGGAUCAAAAAAACAACAAUCGUCGAUUUUCUCAGGGUCGAGUGGCCUUGGGGAGGGGUCCAGGGCAUGGGGGUCCAGACCCUCCAUUGUCACAUAGAAAACAGCGAGGGCGUGGUCACGAUUUACCCUUUAUGCGAGAACUUGUCGAUAGAUGACCGUGGGACCCACCAGACUCACAGGGCAUGAUCUACUCAAAAACGUCCAUCUUGGAAAAAAGUGAAAUGGAAAGGGUGGGCUUAAAGUAGCAGUAGUUCCAGUGUUGUCGCAAUAUCAUGGAUUCAAAAUCAAAAUGGCUUAUGGCUAAGAAGAUGGAUAAUAUUUAGGUGGUAAUGGUGCAAAAUGGAGUAUCUUACCUUCCAACGAUGACAUCAUCAGUUACAUUCUCCAUUAUAGCAGCAGCUUCUCCAGCAACAAGGGCCAAAAGAACUGGAGCUUUAUAGAGGUUCCAGAAGAGAAAAAGCUCCCCACGACUGGCAGUGGUGCUGCCAACAUGGCCGAACAAGUUGGCUUGAGGGUUCCAGAAAAUACGCUCAAAGCAUAAAACCUGGAACAAAAGGGAUUAUUAUUUAUACAGAGGAUGCUCGGUUUCAUGAGUCUGCAAUUAUAGUAAAGAAUAAAUCAAUUGAAAUGA